rnacentral:rRNA from 1 species
AAGUGGGAAACGAUGUGGGAAGGCCCAGACAGCCAGGAUGUUGGCUUAGAAGCAGCCAUCAUUUAAAGAAAGCGUAAUAGCUCACUGGUCGAGUCGGCCUGCGCGGAAGAUGUAACGGGGCUAAACCAUGCACCGAAGCUGCGGCAGCGACACUGUGUGUUGUUGGGUAGGGGAGCGUUCUGUAAGCCUGUGAAGGUGUGUCGUGAGGCAUGCUGGAGGUAUCAGAAGUGCGAAUGCUGACAUAAGUAACGAUAAAGCGGGUGAAAAGCCCGCUCGCCGGAAGACCAAGGGUUCCUGUCCAACGUUAAUCGGGGCAGGGUGAGUCGACCCCUAAGGCGAGGCCGAAAGGCGUAGUCGAUGGGAAACGGGUUAAUAUUCCCGUACUUGGUGUUACUGCGAAGGGGGGACGGAGAAGGCUAUGUUGGCCGGGCGACGGUUGUCCCGGUUUAAGCGUGUAGGUGUGUGUUCCAGGUAAAUCCGGUUCACUUUAACACUGAGGCGUGACGACGAGGCACUACGGUGCUGAAGCAACAAAUGCCCUGCUUCCAGGAAAAGCCUCUAAGCAUCAGGUAACAUCAAAUCGUACCCCAAACCGACACAGGUGGUCAGGUAGAGAAUACCAAGGCGCUUGAGAGAACUCGGGUGAAGGAACUAGGCAAAAUGGUGCCGUAACUUCGGGAGAAGGCACGCUGACACGUAGGUGAAGUGAUUUACUCAUGGAGCUGAAGUCAGUCGAAGAUACCAGCUGGCUGCAACUGUUUAUUAAAAACACAGCACUGUGCAAACACGAAAGUGGACGUAUACGGUGUGACGCCUGCCCGGUGCCGGAAGGUUAAUUGAUGGGGUCAGCGCAAGCGAAGCUCCUGAUCGAAGCCCCGGUAAACGGCGGCCGUAACUAUAACGGUCCUAAGGUAGCGAAAUUCCUUGUCGGGUAAGUUCCGACCUGCACGAAUGGCGUAAUGAUGGCCAGGCUGUCUCCACCCGAGACUCAGUGAAAUUGAACUCGCUGUGAAGAUGCAGUGUACCCGCGGCAAGACGGAAAGACCCCGUGAACCUUUACUAUAGCUUGACACUGAACAUUGAGCCUUGAUGUGUAGGAUAGGUGGGAGGCUUUGAAGUGUGGACGCCAGUCUGCAUGGAGCCGACCUUGAAAUACCACCCUUUAAUGUUUGAUGUUCUAACGUGGACCCGUUACCCGGGUUGCGGACAGUGUCUGGUGGGUAGUUUGACUGGGGCGGUCUCCUCCUAAAGAGUAACGGAGGAGCACGAAGGUUGGCUAAUCCUGGUCGGACAUCAGGAGGUUAGUGCAAUGGCAUAAGCCAGCUUGACUGCGAGCGUGACGGCGCGAGCAGGUGCGAAAGCAGGUCAUAGUGAUCCGGUGGUUCUGAAUGGAAGGGCCAUCGCUCAACGGAUAAAAGGUACUCCGGGGAUAACAGGCUGAUACCGCCCAAGAGUUCAUAUCGACGGCGGUGUUUGGCACCUCGAUGUCGGCUCAUCACAUCCUGGGGCUGAAGUAGGUCCCAAGGGUAUGGCUGUUCGCCAUUUAAAGUGGUACGCGAGCUGGGUUUAGAACGUCGUGAGACAGUUCGGUCCCUAUCUGCCGUGGGCGCUGGAGAACUGAGGGGGGCUGCUCCUAGUACGAGAGGACCGGAGUGGACGCAUCACUGGUGUUCGGGUUGUCAUGCCAAUGGCACUGCCCGGUAGCUAAAUGCGGAAGAGAUAAGUGCUGAAAGCAUCUAAGCACGAAACUUGCCCCGA